UCCAGACUCCUACGGGAGGCAGCAGUGGGGAAUAUUGGGCAAUGGGCGCAAGUCUGACCCAGCAACGCCGCGUGAAGGAAGAAGGCUUUCGGGUUGUAAACUUCUUUUCCCAGGGACGAAGCAAGUGACGGUACCUGAGGAAUAAGCCACGGCUAACUACGUGCCAGCAGCCGCGGUAAUACGUAGGUGGCAAGCGUUAUCCGGAUUUACUGGGUGUAAAGGGCGUGUAGGCGGGAAAGCAAGUCAGAUGUGAAAACCACGGGCUCAACCUGUGGCCUGCAUUUGAAACUGUAGAUCUUGAGUGAUGGAGAGGCAGGCGGAAUUCCGUGUGUAGCGGUGAAAUGCGUAGAUAUACGGAGGAACACCAGUGGCGAAGGCGGCCUGCUGGACAUUAACUGACGCUGAGGCGCGAAAGCGUGGGGAGCAAACAGGAUUAGAUACCCGGGUAA
rnacentral:rRNA from 1 species